ensembl:miRNA
GUGGAGCAGCCAGCCCCAUCUGGAAGACUAGUGAUUUUGUUGUUGUCUCCUGCACUCAACAACAAGUCCCAGUCUGCCGCAUGGUGCCGGCCACCGCA